GACGAACCGUGCGAACGUUGUUCGGAAUCACUGGGCUUAAAGGGCGCGUAGGCGGCUCGCGAGGUCGGGGGUGAAAUCCCACAGCUUAACUGUGGAAGUGCCUUCGAUACCGGCGAGCUCGAGGGAGGUAGGGGUGCGCGGAACUUCUGGUGGAGCGGUGAAAUGCGUUGAUAUCAGAAGGAACGCCGGCGGCGAAAGCGGCGCACUGGAUCUCUACUGACGCUGAGGCGCGAAAGCCAGGGGAGCAAACGGG
rnacentral:rRNA from 1 species